AGCCUUUGGAGCAUAAAUUAUCUGUAAUCUGUUACUUCAAUGCUGUUUCAAUUUUUAAUGGAUUCGUAAUUUAUUUACCUUUAUUUUAACGCAGUUUUAAAGUUAGUUUGUAAAGUUAUAUCACGUCCAUUGAAGACGAUAACAUAUAUAUUUUGUGAGAUAUGUAAAUUUACUUAAUAUAAAAUAUCUGACGCAGCAAACGGCGUUCAGUUCACAACUAUAUAAAUUUACGAACAGUUUUCCAAAUGAGUUGUUGUGAUAGAUAAUGGAUCCAAGAAUGUGUAGGAAAAUCAGUAGCAGCGAAAGUCUUCCAGAUGCUGAAAAUGUGGAAUAUGAAGUGUCAAAUAUCAUUGCACCUCAGGAAAGUGAGGAUAAUUUGCUUUUGGAGGGCAGCCCAGAACCACUAUCCGUGACCUGGCUGGACGACGAUCAAAUUGAUGAUUUAGAUCUUAAUUUAGACCAAACUAACCUAUUUUUUCAUAGGGUUGAUAGUGCAGAUAUAAUUUAUAGAAGCAAAAAGAAAAAAUGUAAAAUGGUAGGGAAAUAUGUAAUGGGUGAUAUAUUAGGAGAAGGUUCCUACGGAAAAGUUAAAGAGAUGCUAGACUCGGAGACUCUAUGUAGGCGAGCCGUUAAAAUAUUAAAAAAACGAAAGUUAAGGAGAAUUCCAAACGGAGAACAAAAUGUACAGAGAGAAAUUCAAUUAUUACGAAUACUUAGGCAUAAAAAUGUGAUAGAACUAGUCGAUGUUAUGUAUAAUGAUGAAAAACAAAAAAUGUACCUAGUUAUGGAAUUUUGUGUAGGUGUACUUCAAGAUAUGUUAGAAUCAAGUCCUGGUAAGAAAUUUCCUCAGCAUCAGGCUCAUGACUACUUCACCCAGCUGUUAGAUGGCUUAGAAUAUUUACAUGGACAAGGUGUGGUGCACAAGGAUAUUAAACCAGGAAAUCUCCUUCUGACUCUGGAUCAAACCUUAAAAAUUACAGAUUUUGGAGUUGCAGAGGCAUUGGACAUGUUUUCACCAAUAGACACAUGCUACACUGGUCAAGGUUCACCUGCUUUCCAACCUCCGGAAAUUGCUAAUGGAGCGGAAACAUUCUCAGGAAUUAAAGUGGAUAUUUGGAGCAGUGGUGUUACAUUGGCGGUACCCGUUCGAGGGCGACAACGUGUACCGGCUGCUGGAGGCGAUCGGGCGCGCCGAGCCCGCGCCGCCGCCGCCCGCCGUGGGCGCCGCGCUCGGCCGCCUGCUGGCGCACAUGCUGCAGCGCGACCCCGCCCUGCGCCCCACCGUGCACGAGAUACGCCGCCACGACUGGGUGCGAGCAAUCCCGCCACUGCAGUCUGGAGAGAAGAUAGUAAGCCCUAGAUCUCGCCGCUCGGACGAAUUCCACAACUCCACAGUGAUACCCUACCUCGUUGAGAGGCACUACGCCUCAGCACAAGAGUACUUCACGGAGAGGGACUUGAGGCAUGAUUCUGAAGAGUUACCGAUAAUCGGUCGGGUCCGCGCUAGAAUUUGCUCAUUAAGUUAG
rnacentral:misc_RNA from 1 species